UUUUUACCUUCAACAGCAACCUCUUCAUUUGACUUCUCAUGUUGUCCUUGUAACCGUUGCAGUGUCUCUUGGCACGAUUUCAGUGCUGUGGAUGCCAUCAGAGAGCGAGCGUCGUUAUCCUCAAUAAUGGUGCCUAUCCCAAACUCAUCUUUUUGCAGCCCCAGAAUUUGCUUCUGAAGUUCAUCAAUCUCCUCGAGUGCCUCCUCUUUGCUCAGCCCUGAGCUUGGAAAGGGCUUAACAUCUUCAAUGCCAUUGAACUUGAGAAGCCCCUUCUUAGACAUCAUUCGCGAUGGUUGCUUAUUCUUCCUGGUCAUUGAGAGAACUCUCGGGAGAGUUGACUUUGGGGCAGCUGGCAAAUCCUUGCAGUAAGCGCUCCAUUCCUCAGGAGAUCCAGUUAUUCCUCCCAGGAAACUUUCGCCAUCUUCAUCUUCCAUCGCUAAUUGAACUCUUUCUGGAUACACAGUUGCUAUGGUGCGAUUAGCGUUUUGAAGCUCUCUUGAUAUGUGAUCAUAUCUCUCUGCUAGAGCUCUGUAAUUCCUAAAGGUAUCCUCCACAAA